GUGAGGAAUUUUCCGCAAUGGGCGAAAGCCUGACGGAGCAAUGCCGCGUGCAGGAAGAAGGCCUUCGGGUUGUAAACUGCUUUUGUACGGAACGAAACGGUCCUGGUUAAUACCUGGGGCUAAUGACGGUACCGUAAGAAUAAGCACCGGCUAACUACGUGCCAGCAGCCGCGGUAAUACGUAGGGUGCGAGCGUUAAUCGGAAUUACUGGGCGUAAAGCGUGCGCAGGCGGUGCUGUAAGACAGGCGUGAAAUCCCCGGGCUCAACCUGGGAAUUGCGCUUGUGACUGCAGUGCUGGAGUACGGCAGAGGGGGAUGGAAUUCCGCGUGUAGCAGUGAAAUGCGUAGAUAUGCGGAGGAACACCGAUGGCGAAGGCAGUCCCCUGGGCCUGUACUGACGCUCAUGAACGAAAGCGUGGGGAGCAAACAGGAUUAGAAACCCGGGUAGUCC
rnacentral:rRNA from 1 species